CUCCGCGGCGCUCAGCGCGCCAUGGCCGGGCGCGGGGGCGAGCGGGCCCCGCGGGAGCACAGCGGAGCCGAGCCGCGCUGGGGCCGCGCUCCGCCGGGAACUGAGGUCACGGGAAAGGAGGGAGUGACGGAGGGAGGGAGCGAGCGGCGCUGCCCGCCCCGGGCCGGCAACGGCACCGCCCUGGGCGGGCAACGGCACCGCCCCGCCCGGGGAUGAGGCGAACCCGGCCUGGCCGAGCCCAAGCCGGCCGAACAGAGCCGAGUGGAGCCGAACCCAGCCCGCCCCAAAUGGCGCCCGCGGCGGCGGAGGGACGCUCGUGACCCCGCGAGGGGACCCUGAGGGGAAAUGGCGUUGGAGACAGUUGAGGGGAGGCGAGGCGAUGUGCCACUGCGGACAGUGAGGGAAGCCCAGAAGUUGGUAUGGAGAACAUGAUCCCCAAGGAGAAGAGCCAUCAGGUGCUUGCCAUGGAUGGAGAGAAAUUGCAUGAAGGAACACUCACCUCUCUGCAUCCCGCUCCUGUUCUCAAUGCAGCCGCUGCAUCCACGUGACUGCUCAAAAAACCUCCAGCUGUUAUUUUUAAACUCCAGAUCUCUGCAGGAAGUUUUUAGGAGACCUCUACUCCUUAAGGCCCACAAAAGAUAACCAAGGAAAACACCAA